rnacentral:rRNA from 1 species
UACGUAGGGGGCAAGCGUUGCCCGGAAUUAUUGGGCGUAAAGAGCGUGUAGGCGGCCAGAUAAGUCCGCUGUGAAAUCUCGAGGCUCAACUUCGAGCUGUCGGUGGAAACUAUCUGGCUAGAGUCCGGAAGAGGAGAAUGGAAUUCCUGGUGUAGCGGUGAAAUGCGCAGAUAUCAAGAGGAACACCUGCGGCGAAGGCGGGUUGCUGGGCCGACACUGACGCUGAUGCGCGAAAGCUAGGGGAGCGAACGGG